rnacentral:rRNA from 1 species
AUUGAACGCUGGCGGCAUGCCUUACACAUGCAAGUCGAACGGUAACAGGUCUUCGGAUGCUGACGAGUGGCGAACGGGCGAGUAAUACAUCGGAACGUGCCUAGUAGUGGGGGAUAACUACUCGAAAGAGUGGCUAAUACCGCAUGAGAUCUACGGAUGAAAGCAGGGGAUCGCAAGACCUUGUGCUACUAGAGCGGCCGAUGGCAGAUUAGGUAGUUGGUGGGAUAAAAGCUUACCAAGCCGACGAUCUGUAGCUGGUCUGAGAGGACGAUCAGCCACACUGGGACUGAGAGACGGCCCAGACUCCUACGGGAGGCAGCAGUGGGGAAUUUUGGACAAUGGGCGAAAGCCUGAUCCAGCAAUGCCGCGUGCAGGAUGAAGGCCUUCGGGUUGUAAACUGCUUUUGUACGGAACGAAAAGCCCUGGGUUAAUACCCUGGGGUCAUGACGGUACCGUAAGAAUAAGCACCGGCCAACUACGUGCCAGCCGCCGCGGUAA